UAUCGGAUCGUUUUAGAAACAUCAGUGGCCAACAGAUCGCCAGAUCGUUGAGCUGCAUUGGCGGGAUUUCGCCGUCUUCGUUUCUCUUUCUUCGCGGACGAACACGCGCUGGGACUGCUUCAAGCAGGAUCCCACGGUCCCUGACGGGAUAGGCGUUAGGGGCUUGUAGCUCAGUUGGUUAGAGCGCGCGCUUGAUAAGCGUGAGGUCGGAAGUUCAAGUCUUCCCAGGCCCACCACUUUCAUCGAGUGAGCAUUCGUCUUCUGGUUACGGGGCCAUAGCUCAGCUGGGAGAGCGCGUGCUUUGCAAGCAUGAGGUCGUCGGUUCGAUCCCGUCUGGCUCCACCAGAUGGUUUGAUCAUCGACACUGUGCACCGUCGUCCGCGAAACAUCACUUCGCAUCCUGCUAGUCUGGAUAGACAGCAAGAUGCGUGUUUUCUGACAUCGUAAAGAGGAGAUCGAUCCGAGUUGGGUCGUGUAGCAGAUUGCUGCGCGGGCCUUCAUUAUCUCCGGAUCAUUUUCGGCGCUCGACGCUGACCGCAAGGUUGGCUGCGAGUUGUAAAAUGAUCCUUUUAGCGAAGCUUGACCGCCUCGCUAUCGGAACGAUCUUACGAAGCAAGCUGGUCUUUCUAGUCAAUGUCCGGCUGCAGAUAGCGUUCAUCGAGGGCGCGUGCCCAAGAGAUU
rnacentral:tRNA from 1 species